GGGCGGAGGAAAGAACCCAACAGGGAUUGCCUCAGUAACGGCGAGUGAAGCGGCAAAAGCUCAAAUUUUAAAGCUGGCACCUUCGGUGUCCGCGUUGUAAUUUUGUGAGGCAUCUCCGGGUAGGGCGCCGGCCUAAGUUCCUUGGAACAGGACGUCAUAGAGGGUGAGAAUCCCGUGCUUGGCUGGCUGUCCCCGUCCAUGUGAGGUGUCUUCGACGAGUCGAGUUGUUUGGGAAUGCAGCUCAAAAUGGGUGGUAAAUUUCAUCUAAAGCUAAAUAUUGGUGGGAGACCGAUAGCGCACAAGUAGAGUGAUCGAAAGAUGAAAAGCACUUUGAAAAUAGAGUUAAAAAGUACGUGAAAUUGUUGAAAGGGAAGCGCUUGAGACCAGACUUCGGUGGGGGGUGAUCAGCUGUCCUUCUGGGCGGUGCACUUGCUCCCCUCCGGGCCAGCAUCGGUUGGGGCGGCGGGAUAAAGAUCCCGGGAAUGUGGCUCCUUUCGGGGAGUGUUAUAGCCCGGGUGAAUGCCGCCAGCUCCGACCGAGGACCGCGCCUUCGGGCUAGGAUGCUUGGCAUAAUGGUCUUCAGCGACCCGUCUUGAAACACGGACCAAGGAGUCUAACAUCUAUGCGAGUGUUUGGGUGUCAAACCCUUACGCGAAAUGAAAGUGAACGGAGGUGGGAACCCGCAAGGGCGCACCAUCGACCGGUCCUGAAGUCUUCUGAAGGAUCUGAGUAGGAGCAUAGCUGUUGGGACCCGAAAGAUGGUGAACUAUGCCUGAAUAGGGUGAAGCCAGAGGAAACUCUGGUGGAGGCUCGCAGCGGUUCUGACGUGCAAAUCGAUCGUCAAAUUUGGGUAUAGGGGCGAAAGACUAAUCGAAUCAUGCUAAGUUCCCCU
rnacentral:rRNA from 1 species